UGGCGGACGGGUGGAGUAAUGUCUGGGAAACUGCCUGAUGAGGGGGAGUAACUACUGGAAACGGUAGCUAAUACCGCAUAAUGUCGCAAGACCAAAGAGGGGGACCUUCGGGCCUCUUGCCAUCGGAUGUGCCCAGAUGGGAUUAGCUUGUUGGUGGGGUAACGGCUCACCAAGGCGACGAUCCCUAGCUGGUCUGAGAGGAUGACCAGCCACACUGGAACUGAGACACGGUCCAGACUCCUACGGGAGGCAGCAUG
rnacentral:rRNA from 1 species